rnacentral:rRNA from 1 species
CAUGCAAGUCGAGCGGACUUGAAGAGAAGCUUGCUUCUCUGAUGGUUAGCGGCGGACGGGUGAGUAACACGUACGCAACCUGUCCUCAAGUUUGGGACAACUACCGGAAACGGUAGCUAAUACCGAAUACUUGUUUUCUUCGCCUGAAGGAAACUGGAAAGAUGGAACAAUCUGUCACUUGCGGAUGGGCCUGCGGCGCAUUAGCUAGUUGGUGAGGUAACGGCUCACCAAGGCGACGAUGCGUAGCCGACCUGAGAGGGUGAUCGGACACACUGGGACUGAUACACGGCCCAGACUCCUACGGGAGGCAUCAGUACGGAAUCUUCCGCAAUGGGCGAAAGCCUGACGGAGCAAUGCCGCGUGAGUGAUGAAGGUUUUCGGAUCGUAAAGCUCUGUUGCCAGGGAAGAACGCUUGGGACAGUAACUGCUCUCAAGGUGACGGUACCUGACAACAAAGCCCCGGCUAACUACGUGCCAGCAGCCGCGGUAAUACGUAGGGGGUAAGCGUUGUCCGGAAUUAUUGGGCGUAAAGAGCGCGCAGGCGGUCAUUUAAGUCUGGUGUUUAAUCCCCGGGCUCAACCCCGGAUCGCACUGGAAACUGGAUGACUUGAGUGCAGAAGAGGAGAGAGGAAUUCCACGUGUAGCGGUGAAAUGCGUAGAUAUGUGGAGGAACACCCCCGGCUAAGUCAACUCUCUGGGCUGUAACUGACGCUGAAGCACGAAAGCGUGUGGAGCAAACAGGAUUAAAUACCCUGGUAGUCCACGCCGUAAAC